GUGGGUGUAGGAGAAUUGAGAGGAUCUGUCCUUAGUACGAGAGGACCGGGAUGGACGCACCUCUGGUGGACCUGUUGUGGCGCCAGCCGCAUAGCAGGGUAGCUAAGUGCGGACGGGAUAACCGCUGAAAGCAUCUAAGCGGGAAACCCCCCUCAAAACGAGUUCUCCCUUGAGAGCCGUGGAAGACGACCACGUCGAUAGGCCGGGUGUGGAAGCGCAGCAAUGCGUGGAGCUUACCGGUACUAAUAGCUCGAUUGGCUUGAUCAC
rnacentral:rRNA from 1 species